AAAGACGACUUUCUGUGUGAUUCCUCUGAUAUGAAGUUCAAGAACAGGUAAGAGAGUCUUGCUCUGUUGUCCAGGCUGGAGUGCAGUGGUGUGAUCAUGACUCACUGCAGCCUCAACCUCCCAAGCUCAAGUGAUCCUCCCGCCUCAGCCUCCUGAUUAUCUGGGAUUACAUGCACAUGCCACCAUGCCCGGAGUCUCACUCUGUCACCAGGCUGGAGUGCAGUGGCAAGAUCUCGGCUCACUGCAAACUCCACCUCCCAGGUUCUAAGUGAUUCUCCUGCCUCAGCCUCCUGAGUAGCUGGGACUACAGGUGAGUGCCACCAUGCCCAGCUAAUUUUUGUAUUUUUAGUAGAGACAGGGUUUCACCGUAUUGGCCAGGAUGGUCUUGAUCUCUUGACCUUAUGAUCCACCCGCCUUGUCCUCCCAAAGUGCUGGGAUUACAGGCGUGAGCCACCAUGCCUGGCCAAUUUUUAUAUCUUUAGUAUAGAUGGGGUUUCACCAUGUUGGCCAGGCUGCGUCUUGAACUCCUGACGUCAAAUAAUCUGCCCACCUCGGCCUCCCAGAGUGUUGGGUUACAGGCAUGAGCCACUGUGCGCAGCAAUUUUUAUUUUUAUUUAUUUAUUUAUUUUGAGACGGAGUUUUGUUCUUGCCCAGGCUGGAGUGCAAUGGCACGGUCUUGGCUCACUGCAACCUCCGCCUCCUGGGUUCAAGUGAUUCUCCUGUCUUAGCCUCCCAAGUAGCUGGGAUUACAGGCGCCUGCCACCACGCCUGGCUAAUUUUUUAUACUUUUAGUAGAGACGGGGUUUCACCAUGUUGGCCAGGCUGACCUCGAACUCCUGACCUCAGGCAGUCCGCCCGCCUCAGCUUCCCAAAGCUCAGGGGUUGGAGGCAUGAGCCACUGCCCCCAGCCCUGGUAAUUUUUAAAAUUUUAUUUUUUGUAGAUAUUGGAGUAGGGAGGAGUCUCUCUAUGUUGCUCUGGUUGGUCUUAAACUCUUGGGCUCAAACAACCCUCCUGCCUUACUCUCCCACAGUGUUGGUAUUACAAGCAUGAGCUGCCGCACCUGGCCUUGAAAUUCUUAAUGAUUUGUGAACGAGGGCCCUGCAUCUUGAUGUGGCCAGUCCUGGCUGUACUGUGGCAUCCGGCAUGGUCACCUAGUACUUUCACCUGAGUUGUCUCCUGAGUGCUCAGGAACACUCUUUGAGGGCAGUUGUCCUCAUCGUUAACCUCACUGACCUCAGUUUCCUUACCUGGGAAACGGGAGGAAGUGCAUUGUGCCAGGCCACAGAGAAACAAUGGGUGAACCUUGGUCUUCUGGCCCUCAGAUUCUAUCAGUGGGAAACUUGGGCAAGUAAGGGCUAGGCAUGCCUACGUGUGUGCCCCUGGAGCACAGAGGAGGUUCUCAGUAGCUACAACUUGCUCUUUGAUUCCCUGGCUGGCCUCUCUUUUUGCCCUAAAUUUUUUUUAUUAAAAAAAUUUUUUAAGACACAAGGAGACAGGGCAUUAGAGGAAAGAGCUAAUACAUCCAACCCAGGUGAUGGGUUGAUGGGUGCAGCAAACCACCAUGGCACAUGUUUACCUAUGUAACAAACCUGCACAUCCUGCUCAUGUACCCCGGAACUUAAUAAAUAAAUAAAUAAAUAAAUAAAGAGACUGAGUCUUGCUAUGUUGCCCAGGCUGGAGUACAGUGGCACAAUCAUAGCUCUUUGCAGCCUCAAACCCCUGGGCUCAAGUGAUCCUCCUGCUUGAUCCCAAAGUGCUGGGAUUAUAGGCGUGAACCACCGUGGCUGGCUGUCUUUUUGCCUUUUUACUAAGAAAUUUUGAUUUAAAUUGAUAAUAGUAAUACAGGUAUCCAUUCUCUUAACACAUGAUAACAUUUCCAAUCAAGCUGAAGUCAGUUCUGGACCAUCUGGCCAGGGCUGGCUCCUUUUCACUCUGUCAGCGUGGUUUUAUAAUUUUGGGGUUUGAACUUCCAGAUCUUUGUGUAUGCAUUUCUUUCAUCUCUGUGUGAAUGUGGCUUUUCCUUCCUUCCUUUCUUUCUGUUAUAUCUUUUAAAAUGUGAACUUUUACAGAAGUCUAAGCAGGGUACAGAAGAUACAUUUUUACCACCUGAACACACCAGUGUGAGCAGCACUUGGAUAAAAAAGCAGAACUUUUUUUUUUUUUUUGAGACAGGGUCUCACUCUGUCACUGUAGACUGGAGUGCAGUGGCGAGAUCUCGGCUCACCACAACCUCUGUCUCGCAGGCUCAAGCGAUUCUCCUGCCUCAGCCCCCUGAGUAGCUGGGAUUACAGGUGUGCACCACUACUGCCCGGCUAAUUUUUGUAUUUUUAGUAGAGACAGGGUUUCACCAUGUUGGCCAGGCUGGUCUUGAACUCCUAACUUCAGAUGAUCCACCUGCCUUGGCCUCCCAAAGUGCUGGUAUUACAGGUGUGAACUACCACACCUGGCCUGAAACAGAACAAACAUUUUUAAUCACUGAAAAAUGUUUCUGUCUAGGACAACUGCUCUCCUGACUUCUAACAGAUUACAUUGUUUUGCCUGUUCUACAACUUCAUAUCAAUGGAAUCAUUCAGAGUAUUUGCUUUUGUGUCUGGCUUCUUUUGCUCAGUUAAACUUUUAAAGUUCCUCUAUGCAGUACUGUACAGCUUCAUUCUCACUACUGUGUUGUGUUCCACUGUCCACUGUGUGACUAUACCAUAGUCCAGUCUACUGUUGGUAGACAGUUGGGUUAUUUCAAGGUUUUGGUUGUUGUGAAUAAAGCUGCCAUGGACAUUCUUCUUUGUGUCUUUUUUCUUUUUCUUUUUUUUAUUUUAUUUUACGAGUUGGGAUCCUGCUUUGUUGCCAAGGCUGGAGUGCAUUGGUGCUAUCACAGCUCACUGCAGCCUUGAACUCCUGGGCUCAAGUGAUCCUCUCAUCUCAGCCUCCCGAGUAGCUGGGAUCAUGGCUAUGAGCCACUGCACCCAGCUCUUGUUUGUGUCAUUUGGUGGAUGCCAGCUCUUGUUUCUAUCAAGUUUAUACCCGAGGCAUCAUCACUGGACACAUCAUUCACGUGUGUUGAGUUUCUGCAUAUUUCCAAACAGUUUCCAAAGCAUUUCGCUACUGCUGUCCUCCAUAUUUCUGGCCCAUCUCGCUCCUUUUUUUUUUUUUUUUUUUUUUUUCAGAUGGAGUCUUACUCUGUUGCUCAGGCUGGAGUGAGGUGGCACC
rnacentral:lncRNA from 1 species